rnacentral:tRNA from 1 species
UUUAACUUGGCAGAUUAUGCACUUGAUUUAGAGUCGAGAUAAAUAAGUUUCUUAUCUUAUAGUUAUUU